GUCACUUAAAUAAAGAAUCAGCAGAUUUUUAACUACAGGUCAAGGUCAUUCCAAUGAGACAAAUUUAACAAAAUCGAAAUAAAAAAAAACUCAUUCCAACAAAUAAACAAGGGCAAUUCAAAUGACAAAGUAACAGAAGAGUCCUUUUCUUAGAGCAAAUGAUGCUCAUGUUCAUAACAUCAACACAAAAAUAGUUUUAGAACAAAAGCAAGAACAUAAUUUCAGCAUGAAAUAAAGUACAAAUAGCCAAGGGAUCAGUGUUUUAGCAAGUCUAAUACUACAGUUUUAUGCUUUUCUUACACAUCAAAAGCGUGAAGACAGAGGAAUAUAUACUGUACCCAUUUGAUCAACAGCAGUUUAUUGAGAAAUAGUGCAUCCUGUAAUAAUAAUUAUUAUAAUAAUAAUAAAAAAACAACACUUUCUGCUAUGAAAUGAUGAGCACUUCAUGGCCAUAAAAUACAGUUGGACAAAGGAGUUGGAAAUGAACUUUUCUGAGACAUAAGCCUGACCUUAAUCAAUACUUCAUUCAAAUUGCAAUACCAUUUACACUGUGGUAAUACUCAACGUACUUAUGAAAGGACUGAAUUCUCCUGAUUUCCAUUUUUGAGUAACAGAUGGAUUGAAAAUGUACAGUUUAAGAAAUGUUCUGGGAUCAAAAUGAGUUAAGCUCUAUAUGCAGACGCUGUCCAGCAUCUGUAACAUACUGUUGAUUACCACAGACAAUCAUUUUGACUCGCCCCUCAUUUUGUAAAACAUAAAAACAUGUUCACAGUAAUGCACUUACAAUGAGGCAAGGCAUUCCGGAUGGAUUUAAAAGCAUAAAUGUGCACUUUUUGCUUUUGCUGAAGUGGAGUUCUAUUGGAAUUAUUCUCAAACUUCUUCAGUAAAACAAAAUGUGCAGAUUAUCUAACAACCUACAUCUAUGGGAGACCACAAACUACCUCAAAUCAAAACCAACAGUUAAAAACAACAGUCAAAAAAACAAAAACAAAACUAAUUUACCCUGUAUAUUGAAAUAUGCAACCAUCCAAAAGUUUGGGGUCACCAAGUUAUUUUUUAUUUUUUUUUAAGAAAUUAAUACUUUUUAUUUAACAAGUAUG
ensembl:lncRNA